rnacentral:rRNA from 1 species
GUAGUUUGACGGUAUCGCCUUAGCAAGCACCGGCUAACUCUGUGCCAGCAGCCGCGGUAAGACAGAGGGUGCAAACGUUGCUCGGAAUCACUGGGCGUAAAGGGCGCGUAGGCGGACAAGUAAGUCGGGCGUGAAAUCCCUAGGCUCAACCUAGGAACUGCACUCGAAACUGCAUGUCUUGAGUACCGGAGAGGAAAGCGGAAUACCUGGUGUAGAGGUGAAAUUCGUAGAUAUCAGGUGGAACACCAGUGGCGAAGGCGGCUUUCUGGACGGUACACAUGCAAGUCGAACGUGAAAGUCCGCAAGGAUGAGUAAAGUGGCGUACGGGUGAGUAACACGUAGGUAAUCUACCGAAGAGUCUGGAAUAACCUGCCGAAAGGCGGGCUAAUACUGGAUAGAGCGACGGGAUCCGUAAUUGGGUCUUUCGGGAAAGGGAGGAAGCAAUUCCCCUUGCUCUUCGAUGAGCCUGCGUCUCAUUAGCUAGUUGGCGGGGUAAUGGCCCACCAAGGCUUUGAUGAGUAGCUGGUCUGAGAGGAUGAUCAGCCACACUGGAAUGAAACACGGUCCAGACUCCUACGGGAGGCAGCAGUGGGGAAUCUUGCGCAAUGGACGAANGUCUGACGCAGCCACGCCGNGUGAGUGAAGAAGGUCUUCGGGUUGUAAAGCUCUGUCUGGCGGGACGAACAUCCAUGAGGUGAAUAACCUCGUGGACUGACGGU